rnacentral:piRNA from 1 species
UGCUGCAAUCUGUGUGUUCCCAGUGCCA